GCCGAGGUGGCGGAACUGGUAGACGCGCACGACUCAAAAUCGUGUUCCUUCGGGAGUGGGGGUUCGAUUCCCCCCUUCGGCA
rnacentral:tRNA from 1 species